CCUACGGGAGGCAGCAGUGAGGAAUAUUGGUCAAUGGUCGGGAGCCUGAACCAGCCAAGUCGCGUGAGGGACGACGGUCCUAUGGAUUGUAAACCUCUUUUGUCAGGGAACAAAGACGCCCACGGGUGGGCGGAUGAGUGUACCCGAAGAAAAAGCAUCGGCUAACUCCGUGCCAGCAGCCGCGGUAAUACGGAGGAUGCGAGCGUUAUCCGGAUUUAUUGGGUUUAAAGGGUGCGCAGGCGGGAGAUCAAGUCAGCGGUAAAAUGUCGGGGCUCAACCCCGGCCGGCCGUUGAAACUGGUUUUCUCGAGUUGGAGAGAAGUAUGCGGAAUGCGUGGUGUAGCGGUGAAAUGCAUAGAUAUCACGAAGAACUCCGAUUGCGAAGGCAGCAUACCGGCUCCAUACUGACGCUGAGGCACGAAAGCGUGGGGAUCGAACAGGAUUAGAUACCCGAGUAGUC
rnacentral:rRNA from 1 species